GAUGAACGCUGGCGGCGUGCCUAAUACAUGCAAGUCGAGCGAACAGACGAGGAGCUUGCUCCUCUGACGUUAGCGGCGGACGGGUGAGUAACACGUGGAUAACCUACCUAUAAGACUGGGAUAACUUCGGGAAACCGGAGCUAAUACCGGAUAAUAUAUUGAACCGCAUGGUUCAAUAGUGAAAGUCGGUUUUGCUGUCACUUAUAGAUGGAUCCGCGCCGCAUUAGCUAGUUGGUAAGGUAACGGCUUACCAAGGCAACGAUGCGUAGCCGACCUGAGAGGGUGAUCGGCCACACUGGAACUGAGACACGGUCCAGACUCCUACGGGAGGCAGCAGUAGGGAAUCUUCCGCAAAGGGCGAAAGCCUGACGGAGCAACGCCGCGUGAGUGAUGAAGGUCUUCGGAUCGUAAAACUCUGUUAUUAGGGAAGAACAAAUGUGUAAGUAACUAUGCACGUCUUGACGGUACCUAAUCAGAAAGCCACGGCUAACUACGUG
rnacentral:rRNA from 1 species